UACGAAGGGUGCAAGCGUUAAUCGGAAUUACUGGGCGUAAAGGGUGCGUAGGCGGCUUGUUAAGUCUGUCGUGAAAUCCCCGGGCUCAACCUGGGAAUGGCGAUGGAUACUGGCGAGCUAGAGUGUGUCAGAGGAUGGUGGAAUUCCCGGUGUAGCGGUGAAAUGCGUAGAGAUCGGGAGGAACAUCAGUGGCGAAGGCGGCCAUCUGGGACAACACUGACGCUGAAGCACGAAAGCGUGGGGAGCAAACAGG
rnacentral:rRNA from 1 species